AAAGGCCCGCGCUGUCCGCAGACUGUCGAAACGCUGUUUGUAGAGCGUUUUUUCUUCCCAGCGCAUACGCGUUUUCCGUCUGACACGCACGCUCGGGAACACAGACUCUGCAGAGACGGCGCCUUGAUGUUGUUAGGCGCUUCUCGGGGAGCUUUGCUGCCGCUUGCGUGUGAGCAGAAGGAGUAGGAACCGCUAUCAAAGACCCAAUGAAAAUGUCUCAUCUUCCUCCGAGUGUUUUGGCCUGGGUAUAUGCGUUUAGAGGGCUUGAGAGAAGAGGAAAGGACCUACAAAGUGCAUUCUGGAUGGACUGUUGAGCAUCGCUUUGAUGCGGAGACGUGUCAGAGCAGUGUCCACUGACAACAGCUUGUCAUUUCUGUCACAGAGACUCGGGCACAAAGGCAGAAACGAAUCAUAAUUCCUAUUGUAAAGAUGCUGAUGUCACCAGUCCUCAGAUGAUCUUGCUAGAAGACUGCAUCUGCUGUAACGUCCAAGUAAAUCCAACCCGAGAUUGCAGAGGCUGUUGAGAGCUGGACAGCCGAGAUUUGCUGCGUCUCAUUAUGAAUGCUGUGUAUUGGACUCACGGAUGGGGAAAAUGAAGUGGGCGAGUGGGUAUGCACUGCGUGUUUCUCCUGAUCCUGAUGCACAUAAACGCUUCUAAAGGAAAACGGUGUUCUUCCACCACAGCAGGCAAGGCAAGUCACAGAUCUGUGUUUUAAUUAGCGAUGGGUCAUUCGUGAACGAUUCGUUCAAUGCGUCCGUCACGAGACAAAUGAAUGAAACACGCAGGAAAUGAACUUUCAGAAUGAAUGCGUACGCGCAGGGGCUAUUGAAAAUAUAACGCAUCAGCUCUGUUCUAAAGAACAAAAGGACAUUUUGCCGAAUGAGAGUGAGUCAAUAAAAUGAUCCAAUCUUUCUGUCACCGGUUAUAAUGCGUUUACAUAGAUUCAUUCUGUGCAUUUUGUUAGACAGUGACCAUAUACCUGCGCGUUUUAAUCACACAGUAAAGCCUAUAAGCACAUACGCUAAUUAGAAAAACACCAAUAAGUACUUGACUGGUGGCUGAGAAGUGCUUGCAGAGCCACUCAGACUCAUCAGAAAGUGCUGCCAGGCAAAGCAGAGGCAAG